AGAGUUUGAUCCUGGCUCAGAUUGAACGCUGGCGGCAGGCUUAACACAUGCAAGUCGAGCGGUAACAGGGGGUGCUUGCACCCCGCUGACGAGCGGCGGACGGGUGAGUAAUGCUUAGGAAUCUGCCCAGUAGUGGGGGAUAGCCCGGGGAAACCCGGAUUAAUACCGCAUACGUCCUACGGGAGAAAGCAGGGGAUCUUCGGACCUUGCGCUACUGGAUGAGCCUAAGUCGGAUUAGCUAGUUGGUGGGGUAAAGGCCUACCAAGGCGACGAUCCGUAGCUGGUCUGAGAGGAUGAUCAGCCACAUCGGGACUGAGACGCGGCCCGAACUCCUACGGGAGGCAGCAGUGGGGAAUAUUGGACAAUGGGGGCAACCCUGAUCCAGCCAUGCCGCGUGUGUGAAGAAGGCUUUCGGGUUGUAAAGCACUUUCAGCGAGGAGGAAGGCUCUGAAGUUAAUACCUUCAGGGAUUGACGUUACUCGCAGAAGAAGCACCGGCUAACUCCGUGCCAGCAGCCGCGGUAAUACGGAGGGUGCAAGCGUUAAUCGGAAUUACUGGGCGUAAAGCGCGCGUAGGUGGUUAGGUAAGCGAGAUGUGAAAGCCCCGGGCUUAACCUGGGAACGGCAUUUCGAACUGUCUGACUAGAGUGUGGUAGAGGGUAGUGGAAUUUCCUGUGUAGCGGUGAAAUGCGUAGAUAUAGGAAGGAACACCAGUGGCGAAGGCGGCUACCUGGACCAACACUGACACUGAGGUGCGAAAGCGUGGGGAGCAAACAGGAUUAGAUACCCUGGUAGUCCACGCCGUAAACGAUGUCAACUAGCCGUUGGGACUCUUGAAGUCUUAGUGGCGCAGCUAACGCACUAAGUUGACCGCCUGGGGAGUACGGCCGCAAGGUUAAAACUCAAAUGAAUUGACGGGGGCCCGCACAAGCGGUGGAGCAUGUGGUUUAAUUCGACGCAACGCGAAGAACCUUACCUGGCCUUGACAUCCAGAGAACUUUCCAGAGAUGGAUUGGUGCCUUCGGGAACUCUGAGACAGGUGCUGCAUGGCCGUCGUCAGUUCGUGUCGUGAGAUGUUGGGUUAAGUCCCGUAACGAGCGCAACCCCUAUCCCUGGUUGCUAGCAGGUAAUGCUGAGAACUCCAGGGAGACUGCCGGUGACAAACCGGAGGAAGGUGGGGAUGACGUCAGGUCAUCAUGGCCCUUACGGCCAGGGCUACACACGUGCUACAAUGGCGCGUACAGAGGGCUGCCAACUCGCGAGAGUGCGCCAAUCCCUUAAAACGCGUCGUAGUCCGGAUCGGAGUCUGCAACUCGACUCCGUGAAGUCGGAAUCGCUAGUAAUCGCGAAUCAGAAUGUCGCGGUGAAUACGUUCCCGGGCCUUGCACUCACCGCCCGUC
rnacentral:rRNA from 1 species